UUGAUGGGCGUUUACUCAGUGAGUGGAAGAGGUUUGUUUGAAACAGACCGCAAUGGAGAGACCAGCGCCCAGGGAAGCGAGGGAGCAGCAGGCUCCUUCCGGCAGCGCAUCGAGAUGUCCUCAGACAAGGAGCAGCUCGAUGUAAGAAUGGAAUCAGACUUGUGUUUGAACUGAUGCCCUUAAAGAAAAGGCAGAACUCUCACGACACAGUGGUGGCCCAACAGCUUUAUAUAAAAUCACAAGCUUUUGGAGUUCUGCUUUGAGAGGCAAAUACUUGAAGAAACCAGUUGAUGCAAUAUUUCCUCGGUACAAAGCCAAGUGUGAGCAGUUGCUUCAAACUAACAGCAGAUGUUACUGUGAUCAGAAUGGAGAAUAUCUUUCCCGUAGUCAGUGGAUUGAGUCAGACUUAUAUUGAGCUCAACUUCCAGAGAUUUUUCCAAGGAAACAACUGAGAAA